rnacentral:rRNA from 1 species
UACGUAGGGGGCAAGCGUUGUCCGGAAUCAUUGGGCGUAAAGCGCGCGUAGGCGGAUCAGGAAGUUGGGGGUGAAAUCCCGGGGCUCAACCCCGGAAUGGCCUUCAAAACUCCUGGUCUUGAGUUCGAGAGAGGUGAGUGGAAUUCCGAGUGUAGAGGUGAAAUUCGUAGAUAUUCGGAGGAACACCAGUGGCGAAGGCGGCUCACUGGCUCGACACUGACGCUGAGGUGCGAAAGCGUGGGGAGCAAACAGG